CUUUCCUUACACGGUGCUCUUCCAAGCUGUCAAGGUCCUCCUAAUUCUUAAGGAUCAAUAUCAUUAACUAACUUAAAUUCAAGUUCAAGUUUAGUUUAUUGAUCACAUACACAUUGACAUGGCAGUGAGAUUCUUUGUUCCUGUUUG